CCAACUUGUUUUUAUUAACAUCAUACGAUCCCAUAUUUAUACAAAGACUAAGGCGGUGAAACAUAUUUCCUUGCCUUGUCGUAUAAGGAAACAAUCCUUAUCACAUAUAGGAAAAUAUACAACCAAAUAUAUGACAAUAUCUCCACUAGAAAGUAUUCUACAUUGGCCUUUAGAUUAUUAUAUGCGAUCAUUAGAGAGAAUUAGAAGUAGUGGCCUCGAUGCAAGCUGUAACGACCCGGUUCAUCAAAAUCGGUUUGGUUUGGUUUAAUUACAAUUUUAAUUACAACUUAAACCAUCCUCUUUACUUCUUGGUCAAAUCGUGCAAUAUAUAUAUCAUUGUACGCAUCUCCCUUCCUCUCAUUUGACCUAGCCGUAAUCACCAUCGCAGCCAUUCUUCAUCGUUAUCUUCUUCUUCAUAUUAACCAUCUCACGUCAUGUUCACGUUCUUCUCUCAUCAUGUUGACCCAAGGCAGAGCCGGAGAUUCCUUACCGCGCCGGAGCCGUCACGUUCAUCACAACUAGCCACAGAUUUGCACCGCCAUGAUCCGCUUGCUGCCGUAGUUGUCAUAAACCACCGUCAGGAUCCAAGCUAGAGAGAUCGUGAUCUCACACCUGCUUGCUCCACUGUCGCUACUCACCCCCGAUCACCAACCGUUACCAUCAGAUACAUGGCUAAGGAGUGGUUUUGCGAGAGGUUUCUAGUACGGUGCAGGGGAUUCUAGGGUGUGCGCCAUGUCUCUUGGGAUAGAUCUCGUUUCCAGGAAUCUGUAGAAGCAAACAAAAUCGAGAUCAGAGUUGUGAAGCAAAAGUUAUUGCUGUUGUUUCUUGGGCAAGAAUAAGCUUAAGCUGUUGCGCUGCAGAGACAGUUCCGACCAGUCUCAGCGUAAAGGUGAAAUGGUCAGCCUAAUCAAAAUAUUUCAGUCUGGAAUUUUGUCAGUGUUGGUGCAGUCUACGUUUGCGACCAGUCUGGAGACGAAGCUAAUUUGAUUAAUCAGAUGGAGUCCGAUCGGAGUAAAACCGGUGGCUACGGAUAUAGGACAUCUAGGGCUACAUUCGGACCGGAGGGAUUGAAAAGUUAACGACUUUCGGAGUUGCUGUGAUAGAGCCAUCAAGGGCUAUUCUGUGCUUCUCAGGUUCUUUAGAACCUGUGGCAAAGGUGAGGGUCUACUCCCUAAAUCCCAUACCAGUAUAGAAUUCUCUCUAUCGUAGUUUAGAUUUCGAAUCAUGAUCCGUCUGUUUGAAUUGAGUCUGUUUGAAGUACAAUCAAACUAUAAUUCUCAAUUCAAUAACACCUCCUAUAAGUGUUUUAGAAGGGUUUAUCAAUAAGAAAUUAAAAAAGACUUUAAAAUCAAUAAAUCUGACUGGAUAAAAAUAACUUACGAAGGCUUAGGAUUUUCUUAAAGCCUUUAAACUUCAAGGCUUUUGAAACCAUAUUACCAAUUACAAAAAGUAUCUUUUAUGUUUCAAUUUCCGCCAUUACGAUCUUCUUCUUCUUCCACCUUCACCAGUCUCGCUUAGACACCCUCUUCUAUUGAUUGCUCUUUGGCAAUGAAUGAUUCCUGCUACUCUGUUUAGAUCCAGUUAUUAAUAUCUACCCACCAUCUCUUGAACAUUGUGGUUUAUCUCGGUUGUCCAUGUAUCUUGGAAGGUAAAGGGCAAUGCAAUACGUUUCAUAACAGAACAUAGAGUCUCAAGGGAAAACUUUCGCACAGUCUUUUGAUGAUCUCCUAAUUGGUCUUCAUUGAACUUAAUACUCCUUCUCGCUACCGGCACAACACUACAACAGCUCUGUGGGAUGAGAGAAUCUCUUGUCAUACGUCUAAGCAUAAGAGGCUACAUGAAGCAUCAGAUUUUCCCUCGAUCUAUCCAAAGAAAGCCAUUUCAUUGCUCUUUACUUAAUCUCCAGCUUAUGAUUCUCAACUAAAAUUAUUAAAUCAACUCAAUGACGAAGUGCAUUAUGAAAGGAUGCAAUUAUAAAUCAUUAUUUAGAUAAUGGAUAUGUUUAUAAACCGAUGGUUUAUAUGGUUUAAGUGUUCUAUACGGUUAAGGGUUACUUAAUUUAUAACAUAAAAAGUAGAUGUUAAUUUAAAAUGCUUCCGCUGCAUUUUAAUAAUAGGUAAUACAUGUUAUGAAAUAUUAACACAAUCUUUUAAAAAAAAUUAUGUUAUGAAAAAUUAACAUAAUAUUAAAAGAAAUAUACCUAUUAGUGUUUUAAUGUUUGUAUAGUUUAUAACAUGUUAGUCACCAAAGUGGCCUUGUUAUUUACUUAUAAAUAUUAAAAGAUAAUAGUAGGAUAAUUGAUCAUGAUCUAAGAGAUGCUAAAAACGACAUUAAAGCUUUAGUGAUCAAUUAUUUUAUUUUAUAUGUUCAAGGAGAUCACCCAAAGGUGGAUCAUUGAAUAUAGUUAAUAAUAAGAAAAGGAUUAAUCACUUUUUACUAUAGUUGAUAGUAAGUAUAUACAAAGAUAGGAUACUAUUUGACUUGAGUUUCAAGUGAUUAAUCAUUAAAGUAUAUUUUAGCAUCACUGAUAAUGUUUGUGUUUAAGUAUUGCCCAAAGAUUGCUUAAAUACACUUGAAAGUUCAAGUUUACAUUUUUCCACUCAUAUCCCAGUUGAAUUUGAAAGGUGAUACAAAAUAAUUUAUACCGUGAGGCCACUUUUGCUUAAAAGUAUACCAAAGUGGUCUCAUAUCGUCUGCGGUAUACAUUUUUACUCAUAUCCAGUUUUCCAUCGCAUUUUGUUCACUGAUGACAUCCUCCUAAUGUGUCAAGCCUCAAUGGAGGAAAGCUCUGAGCUAAAAACCAUCUUAGGAAACUACGAGGCAGCCUCUAGACAAACCAUUAACUUCUCAAAAUCUUCAAUUAACGUUGGCUCAUUGGUUAACGAAGAUAAGAAAGAAGAGAACAAAGGCAUUUUGCGUGUCGAGACUGAAGGUGACGAAAGUAUGUAUAUCUCAAUAUUCCAAAGAUCUUUAGUGGUUUCAAAAUCAAACUCCUUAACUUUAUAAAAGAAAGAAGAGAACAAAGACAUUUGCAAAACUCUGCCACUUCUUAUGAAGGGGUCUCUGGAGCAUUGGCUGUUAAAGAAAGGCUAAAAUUUCAUUGCAUCAAUCUGGACACAACCUGUGAUGUUUGUGGGCAUCACUCCGAAACUAAUAUGUCAUGUCUUUUUUUGUCUCUUAGCACAAAACAUAUGGGACUCCUUAGGCUCCAUUACCACCAGUGGGGUUCUCGCAAAACUCGGUCUUCCUAAUUAACUUUCAUCAUCUACUGAAGACUAGCAAGAGAAAAAACACCGACUACAGGUUACGAAGAACCUUCCCAUGGGUCCUUUGGCAUCUCUGGAAAGCCAAAACCACUCUUCUCUUUGAAAAAGCUCAAACCUCACCUUUAGAUAUUUUGAGCAAAGCCAGGAAGGAUGCAAACUUGUGGAUUCAGGUUAACUACCAAGAAACACCCUCUAUUAACCAUGAUGCCGUUACACCCUCUACUAACCCUGCUGUCGUGAGACCCUCUACUCAUACCUCUGUUUGGCAUAAACCAAGACAAGGAGACCUGAAAUGUAAUGUUGCUUCCUUCUGGAUACUAUACAAUCACCAUGGAGAAACAUUACUCAAUAGUAGAAGAACUUGCACCAAACUAGGCUAUGAAGUGCAUGUUGCACUCCUCAACCUCCACUGGGCCAUUAAAAGCAUGAUGCACCUCCAUUUUCACCGAAUUAUCAUAGAGUUUUCCUUGACUGCUCUGAGAGACGUUCUAUCCUCACCUGAAUUUUACCCUCAGUACCACAACCUCUUUGAUGAUCUUCAGUACAUGCUUAAGUGUAUUGAUUAUUAGUGCUUUUGCCACGUGUCUCCUUCAGAAAACCAAGUUUCUGAAAGUAUUGCAUGGUCGGUGAUACUGAUAAGAGAUAAUAUAUCUAUUGUACGUGGCAAAAUGGUCCGUUGUGGGCCUGUGGCUCACCACAAUCCUUAAGGACAAUGCCAUGGAUAUGCUCUAAGACGGCCAUGGACUUGUGUUUCUAUCCCUCAUUGGGGUCUCUUACCAUUUAUUUUCUAUUUUCACUAAUGCUUUCUAGUUUUCAGAGUGGUUUUAUUUUUCUUUUAUAGAGCUCUGUUUUACUUCCUCCUUUAUAACUUCAACAUCAAUAUAUUGAAUAUCAAACCGGUGUUUAAAAAAAAUAACUAAGUUACAGUUGUAAACUUUACCAUUUGACUCAGGGUAUGACUGGUUUCUCCGCUACCACCCGCAAAAAAAACUUUUGCGGUUGAUAGUGGUUGUUGGCGUUUCGCAACAAUCA